rnacentral:rRNA from 1 species
UACGGAGGGUGCAAACGUUGCUCGGAAUCAUUGGGCGUAAAGCGCACGUAGGCGGCCUGAUAAGUCGGGUGUGAAAGCCCUGGGCUCAACCCAGGAAGUGCACUCGAAACUGUCAGGCUUGAAUAUGGAAGAGGGUCGCGGAAUUCCCGGUGUAGAGGUGAAAUUCGUAGAUAUUGGGAAGAACACCGGUGGCGAAGGCGGCGACCUGGUCCGAUGCUGACGCUGAGGCGCGAAAGCGUGGGGAGCAAACAGG